rnacentral:tRNA from 1 species
GAAGGCUUGUAAAAUAAAACUACAUUUCCUGACUGCAACUCAGGCACUUUAAUUAAGGUAAAACCUC